ensembl:lncRNA
UUUUUUUUUUUUAAUUUUUUCCCAUUGUACAGCAUGGGGACCACGUUACACAUACAUGUAUACAUAAUUUUUCCUCCCAUUGUUGUGUUGUGAUGUAAGUAUCUAGACAUAGUUCUCAGAGCCAUACAGCAGGAUGUCAUUGUAAACCCAUUCCAAGAGCAGUAGUUUGCAUCCGCAUAACAUUAUUUUCAAAUAAAAUAGAAUAAUUUCUGGCCAAAUAGGUAGGUUCUCACUGAAAUAACAGAGAAAAAAUAAAUUCUCACAGAAAUGAAAAAUGCAUAUGAAUUCAUUAAUUCAAACCCUUUUGAGCCCCUACUUAGACUAGGGAUAUCAAAUAGGUUUCACUGCCACAUCAUCUGUCAUGUCUGCCUUUAGGAGGAUGGUAGGCUGAACCUGAUACAGAUGUCUGUCAUGACAAAGCGGAAGAGGGAAGGCAUGUGUUCAGAUAUUUGCAACCUCUGCAAGACAGUACCUCUUCACAGUUAAAAGUAGGAAAAGAUGAUUUUAAUGGGAAUUAUUUAAACUUUUCAUUAGUAAAACUCUGCCCCAAAUUUAAAUAAAUAAAUAAAUAAAUUUUAAUGGAUAUUCAGGUAUUUUUCUGUUUUUAUCAAUAGAUUUUGAAGUUUACAAUUAAAAGACAAAAAUGGAAACUAUGUGUAUACUUAAUAAAUGUCAAUUUUUUUCCCUUUCCCUCAACUAAAAAAGGUUUCAAUUAAAAAAAUAAAUAAAUAAACCUAGUCUUUGAACUUGGAUCAAUUACAAUCCUAGGAAAGGUUCUAUAAAUCAAAACAAGGCAAGCUGAUUAUGUCUUCAUUUUAAAAGUACAAACUAAACCAAAAAUAUGUUCCUAUGCUCAAAUUAAUAUAAAAAAGAUUUUUUUAACAGCGUACGGAAGUGAUUUUUUUUUGGGCAACAUAUGGAAGUUCCCAGGCCAGGGGUCAAAUCGGAGCUGCAGCUAUGGCCUACGCCACAAGCAUGGAAACACGAGAGCCAAGUUGCAUCUGCAACCUAUGCUGUAGCUUGUGGCAACGCUGGAUUCUUAACCCACUGAGUACUGCCAGGGGUUGAACCCAUAUCCUCACAGAGACAACACUGGGUCCUUAACCCACUGAGCCACAAGGGGAACUCCAAAAAAUGAUAUUUAAAUAAAUAUAAACUGAUAACUACACAUUAUACAUCAUGAUGCCCUAAAUGUGUACCAAUAAAUCAAAUCCAGGCAAUAUAAUGACUAAGCAUAUGUUAUUAAUGGAGAGAUCUCUAGGAGAGCUUCAUAAUGCAAAGGGUCAGCAAAUGGUUGGAAGACUGAAGACAAAAGUAGAAGAGUAGCUACCUAAGAACCCAAAGAGAUGUUGAGCAGCCUGCAGAGACAUACAACAAAUCAAUAAUUGAACAAAUAAUUUUUAUACUAUCUGGAUCACACUGUUUAGAUAAUGUACACUAUACACUGAAGUAAUAAUGAAAACAAAAGAUAAAUACAUUGAAUUACUGUUAAAAAUCUAGACUCGUCUAUAGAAAGGAAGUUACUCAAAUCCCCUAAGUGUCCAUCACAAAUUUAUAAUG